rnacentral:rRNA from 1 species
CGAUGAAGGACGCAGCGAAAUGCGAUACGCAUUGUGAAUUGCAGAUUUCAGUGAACCAUCAGAUUUCCGAACGCAUAUGGCGCUGUGGGGACUUCCCCGCAGCACGUCUGUUUCAGUGUCUUU